rnacentral:rRNA from 1 species
AGGGUUUGAUUAUGGCUCAGGAUGAACGCUGGCGGCGUGCUUAACACAUGCAAGUCGAACGAAGCACUUUUAUUUGAUUUCUUCGGAAUGAAGAUUUUAGUGACUGAGUGGCGGACGGGUGAGUAACGCGUGGGUAACCUGCCUCAUACAGGGGGAUAACAGUUAGAAAUGACUGCUAAUACCGCAUAAGACCACAGCACCGCAUGGUGCAGGGGUAAAAACUCCGGUGGUAUGAGAUGGACCCGCGUCUGAUUAGGUAGUUGGUGGGGUAACGGCCUACCAAGCCGACGAUCAGUAGCCGACCUGAGAGGGUGACCGGCCACAUUGGGACUGAGACACGGCCCAA